AUUGAACGCUGGCGGCAGGCCUAACACAUGCAAGUCGAACGAGUGGCGGACGGGUGAGUAAUGGCUGGGCAACUGCCCGAUGGAGGGGGAUAACUAGUGGAAACGGUAGCUAAUACCGCAUACCAUCGGAUGUGCCCAGAUGGGAUUAGGUAGUAGGGGGGGUAACGGCUCACCUAGGCGACGAUGCCUAGCUGGUCUGAGAGGAUGACCAGCCACACUGGAACUUAGACACGGUCCAGACUCCGACGGGAGGCAGCAGUGGGGAAUAUUGCACAAUGGGCGCAAGCCUGAUGCAGCCAUGCCGCGUGUAUGAAGAAGGCCUUCGGGUUGUAAAGUACUUUCAGCGAGGAGGCGUUACUCGCAGAAUAAGCACCGGCUAACUCCGUGCCAGCAGCCGCGGUAAUAC
rnacentral:rRNA from 1 species